GACGAACGCUGGCGGCGUGCUUAACACAUGCAAGUCGAACGGAAAGGCCCUGCUUGCAGGGUACUCGAGUGGCGAACGGGUGAGCAACACGUGGGUGAUCUGCCCUGCACUUCGGGAUAAGCUUGGGAAACUGGGUCUAAUACCGGAUAGGAGCCAUCUUUAGUGUGGUGGUUGGAAAGUUUUUUCGGUGUAGGAUGAGCUCGCGGCCUAUCAGCUUGUUGGUGGGGUAAUGGCCUACCAAGGCGGCGACGGGUAGCCGGCCUGAGAGGGUGUACGGCCACAUUGGGACUGAGAUACGGCCCAGACUCCUACGGGAGGCAGCAGUGGGGAAUAUUGCACAAUGGGCGCAAGCCUGAUGCAGCGACGCCGCGUGGGGGAUGAAGGCCUUCGGGUUGUAAACUCCUUUCGCUAGGGACGAAGCUUUUUUGUGACGGUACCUAGAUAAGAAGCACCGGCUAACUACGUG
rnacentral:rRNA from 1 species